UACGGAGGGUGCAAGCGUUAUCCGGAUUCACUGGGUUUAAAGGGUGCGUAGGCGGCUAAAUAAGUCAGUGGUGAAAGCUUACAGCUUAACUGUGAAACUGCCAUUGAAACUGUUUAGCUUGAAUCUGGUUGAAGUGGGCGGAAUACAUCAUGUAGCGGUGAAAUGCUUAGAUAUGAUGUAGAACACCGAUUGCGAACGCAGCUCACUAAGCCAACAUUGACGCUGAGGCACGAAAGCGUGGGGAGCGAACAGG
rnacentral:rRNA from 1 species